rnacentral:rRNA from 1 species
ACUCCUACGGGAGGCAGCAGUGGGGAAUUUUGGACAAUGGGCGAAAGCCUGAUCCAGCAAUGCCGCGUGUGUGAAGAAGGCCUUCGGGUUGUAAAGCACUUUUGUCCGGAAAGAAAUCCUUGGCUCUAAUACAGUCGGGGGAUGACGGUACCGGAAGAAUAAGCGCCGGCUAACUCC